rnacentral:rRNA from 1 species
AUUGAACGCUGGCGGCAUGCCUUACACAUGCAAGUCGAACGGUAACAGGUCUUCGGAUGCUGACGAGUGGCGAACGGGUGAGUAAUACAUCGGAACGUGCCUAGUAGUGGGGGAUAACUACUCGAAAGAGUGGCUAAUACCGCAUGAGAUCUACGGAUGAAAGCAGGGGAUCGCAAGACCUUGUGCUACUAGAGCGGCCGAUGGCAGAUUAGGUAGUUGGUGGGAUAAAAGCUUACCAAGCCGACGAUCUGUAGCUGGUCUGAGAGGACGAUCAGCCACACUGGGACUGAGACACGGCCCAGACCCCUACGGGAGGCAGCAGUAGGGAAUUUUGGACAAUGGGCGAAAGCCUGAUCCAGCAAUGCCGCGUGCAGGAUGAAGGCCUUCGGGUUGUAAACUGCUUUUGUACGGAACGAAAAGCCCUGGGUUAAUACCCUGGGGUCAUGACGGUACCGUAAGAAUAAGCACCGGCUAACUACGUGCCAGCCGCCGCGGUAA